rnacentral:rRNA from 1 species
UACAGAGGUCCCAAGCGUUGUUCGGAUUCACUGGGCGUAAAGGGUGCGUAGGUGGUUGGGAAAGUUUGAUGUGAAAGCUCGGAGCUUAACUCCGAAAUGGCAUUGAAUACUUCUUAACUUGAGGGUCGGAGGGGAGACUGGAAUUCUCGGUGUAGCAGUGAAAUGCGUAGAUAUCGAGAGGAACACCAGUGGCGAAGGCGAGUCUCUGGACGACUCCUGACACUGAGGCACGAAAGCUAGGGGAGCAAACCAGG